UACGUAGGGGGCAAGCGUUGUCCGGAAUCAUUGGGCGUAAAGAGCGCGUAGGCGGUCCGGUAAGUCGGUUGUGAAAACUGGGGGCUCAACCCUCAGAGGCCGACCGAUACUGUCGGGCUAGAGUCCGGAAGAGGCGAGUGGAAUUCCUGGUGUAGCGGUGAAAUGCGCAGAUAUCAGGAGGAACACCAAUGGCGAAGGCAGCUCGCUGGGACGGUACUGACGCUGAGGCGCGAAAGCUAGGGGAGCGAACGGG
rnacentral:rRNA from 1 species